rnacentral:rRNA from 1 species
GAUGAACGCUAGCGGCAGGCUUAACACAUGCAAGUCGAGGGGUAUAGUUCUUCGGAACUAGAGACCGGCGCACGGGUGCGUAACGCGUAUGUAAUCUACCUUUUACAGGGGGAUAGCCCAGAGAAAUUUGGAUUAAUACCCCAUAGUAUGUUGUGGUGGCAUCACUAUAACAUUAAAGUUCCAACGGUAAAAGAUGAGCAUGCGUCCCAUUAGCUAGAUGGUAAGGUAACGGCUUACCAUGGCUACGAUGGGUAGGGGUCCUGAGAGGGAGAUCCCCCACACUGGUACUGAGACACGGACCAGACUCCUACGGGAGGCAGCAGUGAGGAAUAUUGGACGAUGGGCGCAAGCCUGAUCCAGCCAUUCCGCGUGCAGGAUGAAGGCCCUCGGGUUGUAAACUGCUUUUGUACAGAACGAAAAGGUUUCUACUAAUACUAGGAGCUCAUGACGGUACUGUAAGAAUAAGCACCGGCUAACUACGUGCCAGCCGCCGCCGUAA